UCACCUUCCCCUGCCUUACCCAGGAAGAGACUGGCAUCAUUCACCUUCCUCUGCCUUACCAAGGAAGAGACUGGCAUCAUUCACCUUCCCCUGCCUUCCCCAGGAAGAGACUGGCAUCAGUAGGCAGAAGUUUCAAUCAUCUCUCUCCCUCCCUUGAGCAUGGUGAAAAGAAGCCACGUUUCAGCUCUUUUUGCCCUGUAUUCCCUUUAGGAGAUUCUACCCAACCUCCACAGAAGCUAUUCCCACUCCACACACACACACACCAUCCCCAAAGCAGCCCCAUCAUUGACAGAAAUAUAUUGCAAAAGCUACCCAGCAGCCUUAUAGAAGCCAGCAGCCAGAAGUGUGCAACACAUGCUCUGAUCUCAUCCCUGUUAUUCUGCUAACUCGUAGUAUGAUCCCAUAGCUCUGGCCUGAGGACUGUAAUCUAUUUUCUCUUUCUCAGCUAGUCUUACAGGUCAAGUGCUCACACCUGCUAUUACUCUAACUGGUGAGUGAUUUGCAAUUUGAUUGUGGAUACCCUAAUCAUAGGACGCUCUUCUUCUAAUAGGUAUUAACAUACUCAUUCCUUUACCUAUGUACUGAUUGCUAGCCAAUGUGGUAAAAUGACACACCACUUCCAUAAGACUCACCCCCUAUACUUGGACAGCAAGCUAUACGUGUCUUUCUUGCAAUUGGGAAUCUUAAAUGCACCAAAGGUGCGUCUAGACUAAGAGACUAAGCAAAGCAUUCUGUCACAGAUCUCAUGAGGCUACAAGUGCUUAUUUUUUCAGUGGAGACCACAGGAAUGGCUAACACAUGUAACCAAGUACAGACGGUAUGGCACACCUAACUUGUCCAUAGUUACCAAUUACUCCUUGGCCUCAAAAAACAGAAACUUGCUGCAACUACAAAUACAGUCAUCAGUGGCAUAGCAACCCUUCUUCCAUUUGCUCCUGUAACUCUUCGUCUUGCUAGUUUCAAUUUCCUUUUCUCACGUAUGCACAAAUGUGAAUGAUCCCCACUCCUAUGCUCUUCAGUCAGAUAUGCCUUUAUGCCAAGGAAAACUUCUUUAAUGAUAUUUAUUCACUGAGGCCAUGAAACCAUUGUUUCUCAUUACCAGGGAUGAGCUCUACCCAGCCAGGCUACAGGUAGUGGGCAUGUGGAAUUCUCCUUCCUGUUAUCAGGAAGAAGGACCUCACUUCAGAGUUAUUAUUCCCAUAGAUUUUCAAAGCACCCUGAGCGAUUUUCCUGGAUUACCAUGAGGAAGGUUCAGGAAGGGAGAUGGGUAUCUGGUGAGGGGGUGGUAGUACCAGGACUUCUCAGAUGGAUGUCCCCCAUGUUCCAGUUACUUGCCCAUCCAUUCUCAAGUCAAAACCCCUCCUCUACUUCCAAAUUCUGCAGGCAGUCUCAAGACCCCGAGGAAGUCAAGAGUCUUGGGAAGGAAGGUCCUGGAAUGCCUGUCUAUCAGAUUAGGUUGCUAAUUUCCAAACUGAUCAGGAGACAAGAGUCUGGAACCUGGCUGAGACUACCAUGCAGAUGAAUACUGCCUCAAAGGGUUCUGUCCAUCACCAGGCCUGCUGUCCAGGCAGCUCUAAGAGACUUCCUCACCAAGUAGCCCAGAGGCCAGGUCAUGGAGAAACAAAGCUGAUACUGACCUGGAAGUUCCCUCCUUACUGGCUGGCCUUCAUAGUGUUGAAAGGUGCUUGGGGGAGAAGUGUCACCCACCAUUUCUGUUCAGUUAUGGACCCUGUAUACUACAAUCCCAGAAUUUGUCUGCUGGCACAAUACUGGCAUGACUAUUAUGGAUACACCCACAGUUUUCUGAUUGGAUUUAAGGCCUCUUUCACCAGAAGGAAUUCAUGUCUGGUACUGUAAGCCAGAGCAGAAACCUGUGGCUGGAAAGUUAAAGCCCCAGUGGGGAAGCAACUGUUAUUGUUUUGUUAAGUGGAUGUGGUAAGUCUGUCAGUCUGCCUUCUAAACAUUUGUGCUUACUUACACCCAUAGAUCACUGUUUCUGUCAGCUGCAAUUGAUCAUGGAAGGAAACUUCCUUCUCGGAAAUGAUGGUGUGUGACAGAGACUCAACCACUGAUGAAGAUCCUGAGAAUGAGUGACUAUUACUGUGGCAUAGUGGCCGAAUACUUAAUCAGAAGCACACAUCAAUAUCACCCUCUCCAAGGCUCAGGGAACAUUGCGGAAGAGGGGACGGAAAGAUUGUAAGAGCCAGAGGAAGGGGUGGAAUAUUGUGUACCAUUUGUUUGUUUGUUUGUUGUUUUUCCCAGAAUUGAAAUGUUCCCUCUAGAAGGGAGGUGAGAGGCUCACCCAACUCAAGAAAUAAACAACUCACAAAUCUGAGGAAGUUCCUAAAGCUAAAAAGAUUCACAAGACCCCCCUCCCCAAGGUUAUAGAUAUAAGAAACAACUGCUGGGGGAGUGAUUCUCCUAAAUAUGGAGGUUUGCUGUUUGCAAACCCUGUAGAGAGUUAUCACCUAUGAAGCAUGGUCAUUUCAGUGCUACAGUUGCUUAUGAGUCACUCAUACUCUUGCAAGCAACCCCAUAUUUUUGUAAAUAAAUCUAAUAAACACGUUGGUUUAUUUGA